UAAGUAGAUAGGAAGAUAUACUGUGUUCUUUGAUUGGAAGAAUUUAUUUUGUUAAAAUAACCAUACUACAGAUAUUAUCCUGCUAAAAGAAAAUCUGUGUUGAUCAUUUUUUUCCCUUUAUGGGAGUAAACUCAUGACAGAUUGACAUGAAAAAAA
ensembl:snoRNA